CCCGCACAAGCGGAGGAGCAUGUGGUUUAAUUCGAUGAUACGCGAGGAACCUUACCUGGGCUCGAACGUAAGAUGACUGUAGGUGAAAGCUUACAUCUCUUCGGAGCAUUUUACGAGGUGCUGCAUGGUUGUCGUCAGCUCGUGCCGUGAGGUGUCGGGUUAAGUCCCAUAGCGAGCGCAACCCCUACCUUUAGUUGCCAUCAGGUUAAGCUGGGGACUCUAAAGGAACUGCCUACGCAAGUAGUGAGGAAGGCGGGGAUGACGUCAAAUCAGCACGGCCCUUACGUCCAGGGCUACACACGUGCUACAAUGGCCGAUACAGAGGGCAGCUACCUGGUGACAGGAUGCAAAUCUCCAAAGUCGGUCUCAGUUCGGAUCGGAGUCUGCAACCCGACUCCGUGAAGUUGGAUUCGCUAGUAAUCGCGCAUCAGCCAUGGCGCGGUGAAUACGUUCCCGGGCCUU
rnacentral:rRNA from 1 species